rnacentral:rRNA from 1 species
UACAGAGGGUGCGAGCGUUGUCCGGAAUCACUGGGCGUAAAGGGCGCGUAGGUGGCGACCCAAGUCUGUGGUGAAAGCUCGUCGCUCAACGGCGAGUCGGCCACGGAGACUGGGUGGCUUGAGCACUGUAGGGGCUAAUGGAAUUCCGGGUGUAGCGGUGGAAUGCGUAGAGAUCCGGAAGAACACCAGUGGCGAAGGCGGUUAGCUGGGCAGUUGCUGACACUGAGGCGCGACAGCGUGGGGAGCAAACAGG